rnacentral:lncRNA from 1 species
AAAAAUUAGCCAGGUGUGGUGGUGCGCACCUGUGGUCCCAGCUACUCAGGAGGCUGAAGCAGGAGAAUCACUUGAACCUGGGAGGCAGUGGUUGCAGUGAGCUGAGGUCGCACCAUUGCACUCCAGCCUGGACAACAGAGCGAGACUCCAUCUCAAAAAUAAAAAAAAAAAAAAAGUGGUGCUGUAAGGAGAGUUUGUAUCCUUGAGGGAAGACCAUUUAUGUUUACUUACGGCUUUACAAUUAACAUUUAGUUUAUUGAGGUUACUAAUUAAAAUACUAGGUUUUCUUUAAACAAUUAAAGAAUUGCCUUCUACUUAUAAAUGUAGUGGAUUUUAAUUGAGUAGGACCAGUCACUCUAAAGGAGUCUUAAUAUUUGAUCAGCUGCAGUUAAAUGAGAUUAGAUUCACUCAGCCAUCAGUCCACUUGGCAGUCUUGGUUGAGUUCUGGGAAGGGCAAAUGCUGGGUCUCCUGUGAGCAGCCCCUCUGCUCAGCACUGUGCCCCAGGGAAGGGCCCGUGUCCCUGCUGGGUCUCCGCCCACCAUCUCUUCCCAGUGAGCUGGUCCUGAUGUCCAUGUCAGCCUUUCAGUGACUGUUGCUGCACCUUCCUGCACAGUCUGUUAACAGACCAGAGGAAACCCACUGGUGUGGCUCAAUAAAAUAAUUCUAAAUAUGCACGUGUCUCUUGCAUGAGACUUCUGGGGUGCUGACAACAGGGCCCUGGGCCUCAGUUUUCACCUAGGCGUCAUCCUCAUGCUCAGGAACGUCUGUGGCUAAAUCUCUCCCCGUGAGAUGCUCUUUUUCUUCAGGAAAUAAAGGUUUUUCCAGAAGCAUCCCAGCAGACCUUGUUCGGCUGGAGUGGGUCCUGGGGGACCUCUCUAGUAUCCUCCUAUUGAGGUGGGUGAGGGAG